rnacentral:lncRNA from 1 species
UAUUGUUAGGCCAAGAGACUAGUAACCCACUCAAGAUCUCUCACCUUGGAUACAAAUCCAAGACCAAUUCUUCUUGUCUGGGUAUGGUAGUUGGUGCUCUUGGGGACCUCACUGUGAUUACUGUUUUGUGUCUAUGGAGUCAUUGUGAAGAUUUUGAUUAGAAAGAUUUUAUGAGCAAGAGAAUCCUGUGGCUCAUAGGUAAAGGCUUCUCUGGGUAAGAAGGUUGGUGAAUCCCAGGCUUAGCAUCUCAAUACCUUCUGCUUUCUUUUUUCCAGCCCCUGCCUCAUGACUUUGGGCUCAUAGAAGCUCCAGAGGUGCUUACAUCAUGUCAGACCCCUGGAAGCUUCUUGAUCGUGUCCUCAGCUUCCUCUCUAGAUCUGCCUCCCCAGAAAGGCGUAAGCCAGUAGAGUCCAGGUGCUCACCUGAAGAGGCAGAAGAACUUGAAUCAUCUUAUUUUGGGGUCAGAGAACUCAAAGAGUACAGCUCCAUCUGUAAGUAGGUGACAACCUCUUGGCAACUCGAGCUCAGCUGAGGAUGAUGUGUGUGCAUCUAAGCUGGUUAGAGCGGUCAGCUUACAUUUUUAUGGAACAGAAAAGAGGACCUGCUUGACCACUCUGCUUGCAGUAGGUAAGUAUUCAUCUUCAUUCCUGUGUAUUUUUUUCUGCUUUCAAAUAUGCAAAGUGAAUAAGUAUCUAUAGUCCUGGGCUGCUAUACCUCCUUCCUCUCCUAUGUACCCUCCCUUUGUCCUUCAGAAGGAAAGGUUGAAAUUUAGUGUUCAGCCACCAUAUAUCUCCCUUAGACUCCCACUUUAGAAGCCAGUCUUCUCAAAAAUGGAUCCAGUAGCCUUGUCCUUGGUGAAGAGUGGUAAUAGCCUUAUGAAGGACCCUGCUGUAUGUAGCUUGGGUUGAAGCUCCUAGCUGGUCAGCUGCAUGAGAAUGGUCCUUGCCAGCACUUGGUGCAGAUCUGCCAAGUUCUAGCUCCAAAUCUCUAAGCUGGUAGGAACCUCAACCAAAUAUAGCCUUGAGCUAAGCAGUUCUUAUCAGACGUGUCUACUCUUCCCCGUGGGAGAAGAAUGCUUCUAUCAUAACCACAAUGUGGAGAGUGAGUUAUCUCCAAGGCUGGAAGGUGUAUGUCCAUAUCAGGCUUGAGUCUGUCAAACUUACUCUUCUUUUUCCUAUUUCAGAUGCUGAUAGAUGACAGGUCAUGCUGGAUGAAGUUGCUGAGGU